GUCAGCCUGUCGCCUGCACCUGGGAGAAGACCCUUUCUGACCCCGAACCUGCCAUGGGACUCAGGCUCCUCUGUGGUGUGGCCUUUUGUUUUCUGGGAGUAGGUCUCAUGGAUGCCAAAGUAACCCAAACCUCAAGAUACCUGAUCAAGAGAAGGGGAGAGAAAGUUGUGAUGGAAUGUUUCCAGGAUAUGGGGCAUGACAGAAUGUUCUGGUAUCGACAAGACCCAGGUCUGGGGCUGCGGCUGCUCCAUUUCUCAUACGGGGUUGACAGUAAUGAGAAAGGGGAUUUCCCUGAUGGGUACAGUGUCUCCAGGAAGAAGAAGGAAGGCUUCUCCCUGACCAUGGAGUCUGCCACCCCCUCCCAGACAUCUGUGUACUUCUGCGCCAGCAGUCUGCUGUGUUCCUAUAAUUCACCCCUCAACUUUGGGGCCGGCACCAGGCUCACCGUGACAGACGACCUGAAAAGGGUGAAGCCGCCCACAGUCACUGUGUUCGAACCAUCGGAAGCAGAGAUCGCCCGCACCCAAAAGGCCACGCUCGUGUGCCUGGCCACAGGCUUCUACCCCGACCACGUGGAGCUGAGCUGGUGGGUGAAUGGCAAGGAGGUCAAGAGUGGGGUCAGCACAGACCCUCAGCCCUACAAGGAGCACCCCAACAGCACUGACUCCAACUACUGCCUGAGCAGCAGGCUGAGGGUCUCCUCCACCUUCUGGAACAACCCCCGCAACUACUUCUGCUGCCAAGUCCAGUUCUAUGGGCUGGACAGCAAUGACACUUGGGAGGAGAAGGAUGGUCCCAAGCCCACCACCCAGAGCAUCAGUGCUGGGGCCUGGGGCAGAGCAGACUGUGGCAUCACCUCGGUGUCCUAUCAGCAAGGGGUCCUGUCUGCCACCCUCCUGUAUGAGAUCCUGCUGGGGAAGGCCACCGUGUAUGCAGUGCUGGUCAGCGCCCUGGUGCUGAUGGCCAUGGUCAAGAGAAAGGAUUCCUGAUGCCAGCUCAGAGGUGGAACUUCCAGCCUGCUAUUGCCCCAGUGUGGAUUCGCCUUUUUCCAUUUCUAGCCAGUGCUUCCGAAGAGCUGUUCUCACCUCUCAACGCAUCCAUAUGUACCUGCACAGCGGGGUGCUCAAGACUGCAAUCCCUCUAACCCCAGGGGCACCCUGGUGGGCCCGAACAGACUGAACCAAUAAAAAUAGCCUGUUCUCGCUUGA